ensembl:lncRNA
UUGAUAGGUCAUCAAACCCCAAAUGAGCCCUCGGUAAACAACUCUUUUCUAAUCUCAGUGAUCGCUGACAUAUGGGCGGGGCAACGUCAAGGUGUGCUGUGGAGCAAAGUGGGGCCAUACAAGAUUUUUGCCACGGACCUUCAAAAUUUGGCCCCUGGGAGGCAGCUGGAGAGUGAGGUUUUAAAUGCAUUCAUGCGUACGAUUGUAAUGCAGCAACAAAAAGAAACGGAAAGCCAAUUCUUUCUGAUUGACUCGUUCCAAAUGACCGCAAUGUGGCAAGGAUCAUUCAGAGGAUUGAGAAAGCUUGACCCCGUGGCCUUCGACAUCCUCAUAGGACCAGUGUGCGACAAACAGCACUGGACACUUGUGGUAAUGUAUCCAAAGGAGAAGCGGGUGCUUUACCUUGAUCCUUUAGGUGAAACUCCAGAACACCUAAAUAAAUGCAAGGAUGUGACAAGAGUUUUCAUGAGACUUCGAAAUGUUCAUAUUUCUCGGUGGACUUGUGAUAAAGUAAGCCAUCCAAAACAACAGGACUCAACAUCCUGUGGGGCACUUGUCUGCAAGUUUGCAGAGCUUAUUCUCAGCGGUGCCUGAUAGAUUUCUCUACAGACGAGGCUUCCAUCACUCUGUUGAGGCGAGAAAUAGCAUGCAGACUGGUCACUGACUCAGAAAACCUGACGGAACUAUGUAGAGCAUGUGGGAAUGCACAGCAAAGUCCAGGGAGAAAUAAAGAUGGGCACGAUGACUGGAUCCAGUGUACAACAUGCGGGCUGUGGUUCCACUGGCUCUGCAUUGGAAAGCCGCCAUUGGAGCAGGACUUCUGCUGUCCUGCAUGUUAUCUGUAAUGGAGGAAGUUCUCGUGGUUCUAUCUGGACCCUGGUCUUGCGUUCUUCGGUGGUUCUGCCAUUUCAAUUGAAUGUUUUGUAGCUCUUGUAAUUAUUCUGUACACAAGACAUCUAUUGCACUUCUGUCCAUCUUGGGAGAGGGAUCCCUCCUCGUUUGCUCUCCC